rnacentral:tRNA from 1 species
AAGGGUGUAGCUCAGUAGUAGAGUAUGUGCCUAGCAUGCACACAGUCCUGGGUUCAAUUCCCAGUACCCCCA